CGGAGCGUAGCGCAGCUUGGUAGCGCAUCUGCUUUGGGAGCAGGGGGUCGUAGGUUCGAAUCCUAUCGCUCCGACCA
rnacentral:tRNA from 1 species